CCUUCCAGAAGCUUCUGCAGCACUCUGUCUCAGCUUCAGCCCUCCCCCCUGACUUGUCGCAUCCCCCUUCUUUCUUUUUUCUGCUUUCAAAUUACAGGAUUUACACCAGCUGAAUGCCACGUCUUCUCCUCCUCAUCGUGCGUGUUAGCUGUCUCCCCCGAAAGGGCCGCUCCACGAGGCAGAGUCAGGCUCCUGCCUCAGCUGUAAGAGAACAUCAGCCAUCUCUCCCCCACAGGCUGAUUAAACAAGUAGCGAUG